rnacentral:rRNA from 1 species
AGAGUUUGAUCCUGGCUCAGGAUGAACGCUAGCUACAGGCUUAACACAUGCAAGUCGAGGGGAAACGACAUCGAAAGCUUGCUUUUGAUGGGCGUCGACCGGCGCACGGGUGAGUAACGCGUAUCCAACCUGCCCACCACUUGGGGAUAACCUUGCGAAAGUAAGACUAAUACCCAAUGAUAUCUCUAGAAGACAUCUGAAAGAGAUUAAAGAUUUAUCGGUGAUGGAUGGGGAUGCGUCUGAUUAGCUUGUUGGCGGGGUAACGGCCGACCAACGGCGACGAUCAGUAGGGGUUCUGGAGAGGAAGGUCCCCACAUUGGAACUGAGACACGGUCCAAACUCCGUACGGGAGGCA